GAUAACCCGGAACCGGCACGCACAUAUUGACCGGGUACGGCUCCGGUUGAACCGGCACCGGUAUGGGAACCGGGGUGGGCUGUGGGACGACUACCGGCGGAGGAUCCACCUUCUUUGGAGGCGGAGGGUUCGCUUUCGGGGGUGGUGGGUCAACCUUUUUGGGCGGAGGAGGGUCCGCCUUUUUGGGCGGAGGUGGGUCCGCCUUUUUGGGCGGAGGUGGAUCGGCUGCCUUUUGGGGCGGAGGAGGGUCGGCGGCUUUACUGGGUGGUGGUGUGUCGGCCUUUUUGGGGGGUGGGGGAUCGGCUUUUUUGGGAGGCGGAGGAUCAACCUUUUGAGGUGGGGGUGGAUCAGGUUUUUUGGAAGGGGGAGGAUCGACUUUUUUGGGUGGUGGAGGAUCGGCGGGCUUGGGCGGAGGAGGCUUGGGAGGUUCAGGCUCUUUGAUUUCAAUGCUUUUAAUAACCCCACAUCCCUUACAACAAAUUUUAUCUCUAAGCUUCUCAGGAUUGCAACAAACCACCUUGAUAAUCACAAGGUUUUGCUUUUCAUCAUAAAUCUGGUCUCGAAUUU
rnacentral:lncRNA from 1 species